GGGGCUAUAGCAUAACUGGAAAUGCGCUGCAUUCAUGCUGGAGUUGAUUAAUGUUCGAAUCAUUAUGGCCUUA
rnacentral:tRNA from 1 species